rnacentral:ribozyme from 2 species
UUUUUUUUUUUUUUUUUUUUUUUCUUGCUCCUUCUUCCUGUCAUAAUCAU